GCUCAGUAACGCGUAGUCAACCUAACCUACGGACGGGAAUAACCUCGGGAAACUGAGAAUAAUGCCCGAUAGAACACUAUAUCUGGAAUGGUUUGUGUUCCAAAUGAUUUAUCGCCGUAGGAUGGGACUGCGGCCUAUCAGUUUGUUGGUGAGGUAAUGGCCCACCAAGACUAUUACAGGUACGGGCUCUGAGAGGAGUAGCCCGGAGAUGGGUACUGAGACACGGACCCAGGCCCUAUGGGGCGCAGCAGGCGAGAAAACUUUGCAAUGUGCGAAAGCACGACAAGGUUAAUCCGAGUGGUUUGUGCUAAACGAACCUUUUGUCGGUCCUAGAAACACCGAUGAAUAAGGGGUGGGCAAGUUCUGGUGUCAGCCGCCGCGGUAAAACCAGCACCUCAAGUGGUCAGGAUGAUUAUUGGGCCUAAAGCAUCCGUAGCCGGCGCUGUAAGUUUUCGGUUAAAUCUGUACGCUCAACGUACAGGCUGCCGGGAAUACUGCAGCGCUAGGGAGUGGGAGAGGUAGACGGUACUCGGUAGGAAGGGGUAAAAUCCUUUGAUCUAUUGAUGACCACCUGUGGCGAAGGCGGUCUACCAGAACACGUCCGACGGUGAGGGAUGAAAGCUGGGGGAGCAAACCGGAUUAGAUACCCGGGUAGUCCCAGCUGUAAACUAUGCAAACUCAGUGAUGCAUUGGCUUGUGGCCAAUGCAGUGCUGCAGGGAAGCCGUUAAGUUUGCCGCCUGGGAAGUACGUACGCAAGUAUGAAACUUAAAGGAAUUGGCGGGGGAGCACCACAAGGGGUGAAGCCUGCGGUUCAAUUGGAGUCAACGCCGGG
rnacentral:rRNA from 1 species